rnacentral:rRNA from 1 species
AACGAACGCUGGCGGCAGGCUUAACACAUGCAAGUCGAGCGCCCCGCAAGGGGAGCGGCAGACGGGUGAGUAACGCGUGGGAACGUACCUUUUGGUUCGGAACAACUCCGGGAAACUGGAGCUAAUACCGGAUAAGCCCUAACGGGGAAAGAUUUAUCGCCGAAAGAUAGGCCCGCGUCUGAUUAGCUAGUUGGUGAGGUAACGGCUCACCAAGGCGACGAUCAGUAGCUGGUCUGAGAGGAUGAUCAGCCACACUGGGACUGAGACACGGCCCAGACUCCUACGGGAGGCAGCAGUGGGGAAUAUUGGACAAUGGGCGCAAGCCUGAUCCAGCCAUGCCGCGUGAGUGAUGAAGGCCUUAGGGUUGUAAAGCUCUUUUGUCCGGGAAGAUAAUGACUGUACCGGAAGAAUAAGCCCCGGCUAACUUCGUG